AGCUGCGUGGUGAGCACAAAGCGAACUAUUCUUUCGCCUUUUACUAAAGAACACCGUGUGCACGCCAUAAUAAGCAGCAUACCAUAAUUUUUAAAGGGUCCAUCCUCUUUCGGGGAGGGU
rfam:Triticum aestivum genome assembly, contig: Triticum_aestivum_CS42_TGACv1_scaffold_032439_1BL